CUCAGACCCCAUUUUGAUAUAUCAAAUACGCGAAUGUCAUUUUAUCUUGGUGCGCUUCUCCACUAGGGUUCCAGCAACCCAACUUCCGGCGGCCCAACUUACAGUCUCAAACAGUACAGCAACCCAACUUCCAAUCUCAAACACUACAAUGCCUUACAACCCUGUUUUGUAGUUUAUUCUGGGUAAGUUGGCUGACAAAUUUGAAAAGACGGGAAAAACUCACCCCAUAAUGCUUCGCUUUGGGAAAUUUGUAUAGGAGAAAGACGCGAAAUUUAAGACUUGGCGAUAUAAGAAGCCAGUGAAACCGAUCCCUAUCUAUACGGUGGCUGCAAAAACUACCAUCACCUUGAAAAAUGUUGCUGUAGUCUUGAUACCCACCUUCAUGGUGAUGUUGGGACAGAAACUACUGUGGGAUAAUAUCCGAGAUGAAAUUUCGAAAUCCCAAAAAGAUUCAGAAUUCUGUUUCACAUCAGCUAUUUUGAAGGCAAAAGCGGACAUGGAGAAACAAGCUAGGGUCUUGAUAAGAGAAAAACUGGCCUAUCAAAGGCAACUAGCUAGAAAGGGACUCAUAUCGAUUCUUGAGAAGAAUCUCCCAGUCCUCUCUAUGGCGCUGAAAGACGUGCUAGAUCUUGAGAUAACUGCAGGGGAAGAGCCUGUUGGGGAGGUUCAGGAGACUACUGAGGAAGAACACUGACAGAGUAAUAAGAUAAAUGGCAGUCCGAUGCACGAAGCAUCCCGCGUUUAUGCAGGGUCCAGGGAAAGACCGCGAUCUUUUUGAUGUUUUAGGAAAAUUCACAAUAGAUCAUGAUCAUCUCACCUAUGACAUUGGUGACUUAAUUACAAGCUGCACAACUAUUUCUCGAGGUCGAAACUUAACAAGUUUGAGAUGAACCUUGCAAAGUUUUAUGUUCUUUUUAUAUGGCGUGGUAAAGUUUCCAUCUUGGCCUGUACGUUUUUCUAUUAGGCUGCUGUCUGGUCCUCCUUUUGCAUCUUUUAUGUAAUUUGAGUUUUAGCAAUGAUGUGAUAGUGCAUAACUUCUUUUAUGUAAUUUGGGUUUUAGCAAUGCCAAAAUUUUGAAUUGUUCACUCCUGCAAACUUAAUA